UUAAAUUCUCAAUCGACUCUCCUUCUGCAACUCUCACUCUCACUCUCACUCGCUCGUUGUCUCGAUUCUGGAACGAUUCCAUUGCGAUUCUGAAUUUGAUCCUCGCAACUAUCAGAGGUAAAUGUUAUAUUGAUUUGGAGAAGCAGAGAAGGCAUUGAAUUGCAUUCAGAACAGCCCCAUAUAUUAAUUCCCUACUCUAUUUCCAAGCUCAGGCUCUUCAAAGUCACCUCCACAAAUGCAAUGAAGCUUGGAAAAUCAAUGAUUGGAAAUCUAUUAAAAGGAAACACAGGCUGCAAUAUCCUUAGGUGCUGAUUUAGCUUCUCAUUCCUCAAAUUCUAAAGGAGAACAAGGACAAGAAGGAUGCGGAAUUUAAUGAAAGAUUCAAGCCCAGUAAGUAUUCAACAAGCAUUUAGCAGAACCGUGAUAAUUUUUCUUCAUGGUAGCUAUUAGGACAACC